UCCAUGUCAGGGCUCACGGCUGCCUGGAA
rnacentral:piRNA from 1 species